GAUGAACGCUGGCGGCGCGCCUAACACAUGCAAGUCGAACGGUUAAAGCACCUUUUAGGUGUGUAUAAAGUGGCGAACGGCUGAGUAACACGUGGGCAACCUGCCCUCCUCUUGGGGAUAGCCUCGGGAACCGAGGAUAAUACCCGAUAAUUCAAUGUGGCCGCCUGACGACAUUGAGAAAGCUUUUGCGGAGAAGGAUGGGCCCGCGGCCUGUUAGCUUGUUGGUGGGGUAGAGGCCUACCAAGGCAAUGAUGGGUAGCUGGGUUGAGAGACCGACCAGCCAGAUUGGGACUGAGACACGGCCCAGACUCCUACGGGAGGCAGCAGUGGGGAAUCUUGCACAAUGGGCGAAAGCCUGAUGCAGCGACGCCGCGUGCGGGACGAAGGCCUUCGGGUUGUAAACCGCUUUCAGCAGGGACGAGGCGAUAAGUGACGGUACCUGCAGAAGAAGCCCCGGCUAACUACGUG
rnacentral:rRNA from 1 species